CAGACACAACCAAAAUAGGAAAACAAUAGAAUAGAAAAGCUUGCCUCCAAAAACGUGAAAUCAUAUUUAGGAUUCAUUUUCCCCUGAGAACUAGGGCAGACUCAUCACUGCCAUUUCAAAGAUGGAGAAAACUGAGGGCUGUUUUUACCCAAGCUCCCAUAGUGAGUCAGGCAGGAGUAGAGCCAGGAAGAGAACUUUUUUCUUCAUUUCUUGCAGUAGGCCCUGAUUCGGCAAACCAUUUAAGCAUGUAUAUAAUUUGAAGCAUAUGCUUAAGUCUUCAAGUGCUGAAUGAAUUGGGACUCCAGCCAAUAGACAAAUCUUUCUUCCCAUUCAGGCAAUAAGCAGCAGCAACUCCAUGGGGCAGACAUAAAUGGAAAAGAAAAUUAAGCUGUCUAGAAACUGAGACCAGCAGAAAGAAAGAUGAGGAAUAACAGUAUUUGGUGCUUGAAGGGACAAAUCCUACCCUGGCUGGUGCUGUAUGUAGUCUGGUCAAAUAUGUCUGUCUAAGGUGCAAGCAUGCGAAGGGCUUGGCCUGGAAAGCACGUUCCACCCAAUGGUCUGUGGUGGGUACUGGAAUCCAAGUGAAUGAAGAGCUUGUUCCAGAAAGAAAAGAGAAGAAAUUUGCAGCUGAGCAGAGCAACCAGAACAAGGACUAUUCACCACUCAGAUCUUACUGCAGGAGCAAUGGUGAUGUUUGCAAUGCCACAGAAAUGACUGAUGUCUAGAUGUCCCAGAAAUGGCUAGGAGGUUCCAAACCUGAAUGACAUCAGUGGAUGAAUCCAGGAAGAAGUUCUGUCUACAGUAGGAAAGCUAUUCCCAUAAUGCAGCACUGAUGCAACUCUACUGUUGGUUGUAUAAAUGAAGCUAGACUGCACGCAUUUAACCACCAGAAAGAGGUUUUCAGCAUGAUAGCGAAAAUGUCUGAGUAGUGCUGCAGUACAGAAUCCACUGAUCAACCACUGCUAGAAAAUGUGAGUCCAACUUUUGCCAGUAUUGAUAGAUUUAGAAAGGAAACCAGCCGCUGUUUUGAUUAAAAUAACUUGGUUCUGAACAACUGUGGGGAGAAGUGGGAAAUGGUCAUAAGUGGGGAUUUAAGCUGUCAGUGUCUAAUGUUUGAAUUAAAGAUAUGAGGGUAUUUGCUGGGUCUGG
rnacentral:lncRNA from 1 species